UGGGGAAUAUUGCACAAUGGGCGCAAGCCUGAUGCAGCCAUGCCGCGUGUAUGAAGAAGGCCUUCGGGUUGUAAAGUACUUUCAGCGGGGAGGAAGGGAGUAAAGUUAAUACCUUUGCUCAUUGACGUUACCCGCCGAAGAAGCACCGGCUAACUCCGUGCCAGCAGCCGCGGUAAUACGGAGGGUGCAAGCGUUAAUCGGAAUUACUGGGCGUAAAGCGCACGCAGGCGGUUUGUUAAGUUAGAUGUCAAAUCCUCGGGCACAACCUGGGAACGGCAUCUGAUACUGGCAAGCUUGAGUCUCGUAGAGGGGGGUAGAAUUCCAGGUGUAGCGGUGAAAUGCGUAGAGAUCUGGAGGAAUACCGGUGGCGAAGGCGGCCCCCUGGACGAAGACUGACGCUCAGGUGCGAAAGCGUGGGGAGCAAACAGG
rnacentral:rRNA from 1 species